AUGCAUUCCUUACAUGUUUCACUAGUGUUCCUCUGGCUUCAACUAGGGGUGAGCAGCCAGGAGAAGGUACAGCAGAGCCCAGAAUCCCUCAUUGUCCCAGAGGGAGCCAUGUCCUCCCUCAACUGCACUUUCAGCAACAGUGCUUCUCAGUCCAUCUGGUGGUACCAACAGCAUCCUGGGAAAGGCCCCGAAGCACUAAUAUCCAUAUUCUCUAAUGGCAACAAGAAAGAAGGCAGAUUGACAGUUUACCUCAAUAGAGCCAGCCUGCAUGUUUCCCUGCACAUCAGAGACUCCCAGCCCAGUGACUCUGCCGUCUACCUCUGUGCAGUGAGCA